rnacentral:rRNA from 1 species
UACGGGGGGAGCAAGCGCUGUUCGGAUUUACUGGGCGUAAAGGGCGCGUAGGCGGCCACGACAAGUCACUUGUGAAAUCUCCGGGCUUAACUCGGAACGGUCAAGUGAUACUGUCGGGCUAGAGUGCAGAAGGGGCAACUGGAAUUCUCGGUGUAGCGGUGAAAUGCGUAGAUAUCGAGAGGAACACCUGCGGCGAAGGCGGGUUGCUGGGCUGAUACUGACGCUGAGGCGCGAAAGCCAGGGGAGCGAACGGG